AGAGAGAGAGAGAGAGGCUCCAGGAUCCCCCCUGGCCCCUGCGUUCUUCGUGUCUCGAGAGGCCGCCGCCGCCGGCCACCGCAGUCCGCCGCCGCCACUCUUACAGCCUCCAGGACCCCCCCACCCCGUCCUCCCAUUGCCAAGCCUAGCCAGACGCGUCCGGCGGCUCCCUCAGGCCCCGCCCGCGGCUCUAGGUCGCCGCCCGCCUGGCCCUGGGCUCGCCGUCCUGCGGUCCUGCCUCCCUGCCCCGGUGCUCCCCCGACUCGGCGACUCCAACUUCCAAUACCCAAUCUGCUUCGCUCAAUCGGUUGGAGACACUCGUCGGGCCUAGUUGGCAUACCAUGUGGAAUGCAGUUUCUCCCUGGAUGUGUUCGACAUGGAAUCCGGUUCGCCUGCGGGACCAGCGCACGUGGGCACCACGUCGGCUUGGUGGGACAAGAUCGCAUUCCACCAUGGCGGCGAGCUCCUUGCUGCCGGGCAAGAAUUCCUCCACAUCAUCGUCGUCGUGUUGGUUGGCAUGCCAACUAGGCCUGUGUUGGUUGGCAUGCCAACUAGGCCUGUCGAGUGGCUCCAACAUGUCAUAAUUGGCGAGAAAUGAGAAAAAGCACAAUAUAAGCCGCGGUACAGCACAUUCAUACACGGGAGCGAGGGACUAGCGUGCGCGCAUGUUACGUACGGUAUGCUAGUUGGAAGAGUAAGGAAUCUUUGUUCUUAAUCAAUGUCUUUCAUAGUUAAGCAGAGUCGAUCACAUGGAAGUUUUGCAAGUAUGCAAGAGCGGUUAAGUCAUCAUUUCCUAGUUAAAAAUGUGAUUGCGACUCUAGUGGAAUCCGAACAACAACUAGCAUAGGCUCUCGUAGUAUUUAGAUCUCGAUUCAUCCAAGCAGAGUCACAUGGAAGUUUUGGGAAGUAUGCAAGAGCUAGCGGUUAAUUAAGUCAUCAUUUCCUAAUUAUAGAUGUGAUUGCGACUCUAGUGGAAUCCCAACAUCAACUAGCUAAGCUCCAGUAGUCAGACCUCGAUUCAUCCAAGCAGAGUCACAUGGAAGUUUUGGAAGUAUGCAAGAUCGGUUAAUUAAGUCACCAUUUCCCAAUUAAAGAUGUCAUUGCGACUCUAGUGGAAUCCCAACAACAACUAGCUAGGCUCUAGUAGUCAGAUCUCGAUCCAUCCAUUGCGAUGUACGAUAGCUAAGCAUGCAUCGCAUUCAAAACACUUCUUGCAGUGAUCCCGAUCCAUUUGAUUGUUUGAGUUAUUUUAUGAGACUUGAAAGUCGUCGUCGUCCACACAAGGUUGCGAUGAUCCAUUUGAUUGGCUGCAGGCAGGCGUACUUACCAUACGUUGAGUUUUUUUGUUUUUUUUUUUUUUUUUGAAAUGGGUUGAGUUAUUUUAUGAGGAGCUGAAAGUCGCCGUCGAGGUCGAUGAUGUGCACUUACGUAGGUACGUACGUACAUACAUACAGCUCAUCAUCGAUAAUGUCGAAUGCAGCUAGCAGUCGGCCCAGUCAUUUUACUUUUAUGCUAAAGAAAAUUACGAGCUACUCUCUUCGUUCCUAACUAAACUAGCUGGGUAAUGCGCGGCUAUACUCAAUGUACGGAGUAGUUUCUUACAGUGUGUUUCUUCUAAUGAUUCUAACCCAUGACGAUGAAUUGAAAUAAUUUAGCCUAUACCUGUGGACAUGAUGGCCUUUCACGCCUCUUGUUUUAAUAAUCAGAAUUUCUUUUGUGUGUAUGUUUGAUUCAUCGCUGCCCAAGCGAUCAAGUGCUUAUCAUUGGAUCAACCUCGUGCUUGCACCAUGGUGGCCAUGUACGACGGGGACAGAUUAUUAUAGUUGUCGUUUUGCGAAAAUGAGGGAUCAUAUGACAUGGUUUUAGUUGAGAUUAACAAUUUAAUUAAUUCGUCAAUGUUUCACCGAAGUAGUAUUUUGAAUAUCUCUCUCUUAAACUUCCUAUUGAGUCAUCUUACUAGCUAAGGAGGUAAUCACGGUGUGUAUACUUCUAUCUAAAUAUAUUGUUUAUUUUCCUUAUUUUUUCUACCUUUAAAUUUGAGCCUUUAUAAACCAGAAGCACAAUCAUCGAUGUUGGAAAUUAUUUAGCCUGUGUGAACAACACGGUGGUUUAUUGGUUGACUUUUUCCAUCUUUAAACCUAAGGUGUUAUAAUGUAGACCCACAACAAUUGAUCGUGGAGUUAUUUAGCCAAUUUGGAAGAACAUUAUGGCUUACACUUUUUAUUUUUUCUAUCUUCAAAUUUAAGUCAGAGCCAACCCGCAAUAAUACGCUAGAAAUUAAGAGCCUCAGAAACAAUUGAUGAUAUCUUGAAUCUAAUACGGUCAUCUUUAGCCGGUGGAGUUCUGCUAAAACAGACAACUAAUGAAUCACUACCGGAAAAAUGAUAUUUGCCAAAAGCAUUCCUUCAGGCUCUCAACAAAGCCGGCUUUGCUAAAGGCAAAAAAAGAGUCGCAGACAAAGAAAAGGCCUUCAGCAAUGAAGGUGGCUACGUGGAUUUGCCGACAGGGCCAGCCCCAUGAACGGAGCAAACUUUGUCGAAGGCCAGGCCUUCAGUAAAGAUCACAUGAGGAGACACACAGGAAACGGAACCGUCGGUGGUUAAUUACAACAGAGGAGGCUUAGAGAAAUGGUGGAACGCCACUCGGCCGGUUCGGUGGCUCCUCCGUUUCUUUGCAUGCUUCCCGCUACUAUCCACCUCGGCCCACCGGUCAAAACUUGGUUUUCAGUUUCUUUAAUUUUUAUUUGCUACCAAGAGAUUUUUUGUUGAAAGCUUGUGUUCAAUUAGUUGAAAUUUGGUUCUCAAUUUUAAACUGUCCUAAAUUGGAUUCCAUUUUUUUCAAAGUUCAUUGCAGAUUUGUUGUAAGCCUGCCAUGGAUUUUGGAAGUGAUCCAUCCAACAUUUCUUACUUGAAACCAGUUCCAAGAAUUGUUAGAAGGGGCAUCGCCAGCCAUGAAUGAUGAUGAGAAGAAGGGCGAGGCUUUCAGAAAUUAACCACGUCCUUAGUUAGAAAAUAGAGAGGAAGGUUAUUCGUCACAACGGUAAUUCCAUUGGUGAUCAUCAUAUCUUCAGAAAAAGGAAACUGCCACUUCAGAAAAAGAAAGGAAACGCGAACUGAAUGAUUAGGCCAGAAAUGAAUGGCAAGUAGCCAAGUACUCCCAAAGCCCACCUCAGCUGGGAUCCACCUCAGCCCAGGCCAUCAGGCCCAAUACGCAGGCACAGAGGGAGGAAGAGACCGGUCGAACGGGACUCCCGACUACUGCUUGCUGUGUGCGUGUGGGACCCGAGAGGCCGCCGCCGCCGCAGUCCGCCGCCGCCGCCGCCGCUCAUAUAGCCUCCAGGAUCCCCCCGUACUCCCUCGCAUCGCCUAGUCAGAUGCGGCCGGCGGCUUCCCCCGUCCCCGCCCGCGGCGCUAGGUCGCCGCCAGCUUGGCCCUGAGCUCGCCGUCCUGCAGUCCUGCCUCCCUGCCCUGCCCCGGUGCUCCCCCGACUCGGCGACUCCCACUUCCAGUACUCAAUCGGCUUCGCCCCAAUCGGUCUCAUAUCAGAGGUGUUUCCAUUGCUUCCUUGGAGUAUUGACCGAUUUACUUGUGCGCAUCGGCUGGCUUCCUGGUGACUGGAUAGCUUGGAUUCAUAAUAUUAACAAUUUGGGGUGGAAGAGCAUUUUAUCUUCCCCAAAUUUCUCUUUGGUGUCAGAGCCUCCUCAAACCCUGUAUGUAUCACCUUGAACCAGUACCGGAUUCACCGCAAUCGUGGAGGUCGUACAGGCUCUAGGGGCAAAUGCUGCCAUGAUGAAGGUGAAAUCCUCACAUGUCACCCUUACAAGAGAAUAAGCUGUGCGGCUGGAGAGGUAACAGAAAGCAAUUCAACUGCGACAGGCCUGGAGAUCAUCUCCGUGAGGCGGCCCGUGGUCGAGACCUCGGAGAUCGUAGAAAUCUGAAGACCUCUUCACCACCUUUGGUAACUCUUAACCAGUGUUGGAGGAUUAAGGAAUCUUCGUUCUUAAUCAAUCUCUUUCACAGCUAAGCAGGGUCGCGUGGAAGUUUUGGAAGUAUGCAAGAGUGGUUAAGUCACCAUUCCCUGAUUAAAGAUGUGAGUGCAACUCUAGUGGAAUUUCAACAACAACUAGCUAGGCUCUAGCAGUCGGAUCUCGAUCCAUCCAUUAUACUAUAGCAUUACAUGGAUCCCAUUCAAAACUGUUUGAGUUUCAGUCUCGAACUAAUGUAAUUGUCCAUUUUCAACCUCGAACGCCAUAUCUGUAGUUCUGCACUGAAUUGCAGUCUCGAACACAUAUAAUUAUCUACUUUCAGAACUCUAAAGCUUUUUCAACUGCA